AGAACGAACGCUGGCGGCAUGCCUAACACAUGCAAGUCGAACGAGACCUUCGGGUCUAGUGGCGCACGGGUGCGUAACGCGUGGGAACCUGCCUUUAGGUUCGGAAUAACUCAGAGAAAUUUGAGCUAAUACCGGAUAGUGUCUUCGGACCAAAGAUUUAUCGCCUUUAGAUGGGCCCGCGUAGGAUUAGCUUGUUGGUGGGGUAAUGGCCUACCAAGGCGACGAUCCUUAGCUGGUCUGAGAGGAUGAUCAGCCACACUGGGACUGAGACACGGCCCAGACUCCUACGGGGGGCAGCAGUGGGGAAUAUUGGACAAUGGGCGAAAGCCUGAUCCAGCAAUGCCGCGUGAGUGAUGAAGGCCUUAGGGUUGUAAAGCUCAUUUACCCGGGAUGAUAAUGACAGUACCGGAGAAUAAGCUCCGGCUAACUCCGUGCCAGCAGCCGC
rnacentral:rRNA from 1 species